UUCCUUUCUAAAUGCUCUUGGCCUCUCAUUGGUUGCCACCUCACUUCUCUCCCUCAUCCCUCACCAUUCUUUCUUCCCCUCAUUAUCAUCUUCUUCUUUAAAGAAUAGAGGCCAAAAGGUCAGGAACCAACCACACCACCACCAUAUCGUUGCCACUCCGGCGAGGCGGCCACUGUCACAGCCAUACUCGAGGACACUCUAAUUUCCUCUCUCUUCUUUAUUUUCUCCCUUAUCUUUCUCUCUCUAACACUCUCUCCCUCUCUGAAAACCGCAUAACACCACCACCCGAUUACUCCUGCGAGCUAGACCAUCAGAACACCAUCGCGCCUUGUCAUUCCUUAUCUCUAUUAAGUUCAAACCAUGAACAUCAAACCCAAACAUGCAACUGCAUUGCACAAUGGUCAUUGCCACUGUUCAUCAUCUUCUCUGACGUGUUCUCGUCAAUCCCGACCAAGGGUUCAGAAGCUGUUGGGACGAAUGGAGGACUUCCCCAGAAUUCUGGGAAACUCAAGAUUCGUGGCCAUCUGGCCUCUUUUAGGCCCAUUUUUUAGCUAACGCUGAAGUUGACUCGACCCCUAACAGAGCUUUGGAAGUUGGACCAAAAACCUGCAAACCUGCAAGAACUUGCGAGGAAUGCGGGUACAGUCGUACUCGCAAGCGCGUGGGCGCGUGUGGACACGUUAAGGUGGUCAGCGUGUGUUGCACAUGGCUAUCGGUGCAGCCACAUUGUGGCGGUGCAUGGAGGAACCUAAGGUCCCUCGUUAGGUUUCUCGACGUGCCGAAUCCGAAUCUGCCGUCCAUUUUCCAAAAUUCGACCGUUUUAAAAUAGUUCAUUUAUUAGACGUACUUUGUAUGAAAAAGACGUUUCUAUGUUAGUACAUUAUAUAUUUACGUUAACGGUUUUGUUUCUAAGGCGAAACGCAUUGCAAGGAUCUUCGAAACCCGUGAGGCGGGUUCGACCUGACGAUAUGAUCUAUACAUUUAUUCGACAUUGACGUUCCAGGAGAGAUAUCAUUUAAGGAAUCUGACUUCUUUUCGACAGGAGAUCAAACUACCAUAGUGGACACAGAAGUUGGUCGUAUCGGAGUGGGAAUCUGUCAUGAUUUACGGUUUCCUGAACUUGCUGCAUUGUACA